GUAGGAACUUGAGUGUCUCAGGGUUAACCUAACCCUCCCCACGACUGUCUUUCUGAACUGUUAGAAGAGAGUUUGCUUCUCUCCCUACCCGUGACAGUCACACUUGUUUGCCAGACUCCAGAGUUUCCAAAGCCCCCAUCUCCAGAUGUGCUGUGGGCAUUGCAGAUGCUUGAGACUUGGCUGGCACCCUUGUUUCACACGGGGCUUUGCAGACCUUAAGGCUAGACCAGUUUUUUGCACCUGUUCCUGCUGCAAUCUGCUUGUACUGUGUCUGGACUGUGUUAAUCCUCUUCCCACAUGGACAAAGCUGUUUGCAUCUCCUGCCAUCACCAAGAGGAUUUUGGUCUCUUCCCAUGACUGAUCUGCAAAGCCAUUAGCUCGAGAAGCAAUGGAUCAGCUGUGAACAAGGAGGAGCCUGACAUUGCUUCUACACCACCAGCUGUCUGGGAGCUGUUCCACCCAGACUUCCCCUCGUGUGCCUACAAAAACACACUGUUUUGGGCCAACUUUCCAUCGUCACAUUUGCAGCCAUCUGAAAGCCAGAGCCAGGCUUUGGUGCCGGAAAUAUAGCAGAUCUUCUAAAUGGAGGAGAAACUUCCCUUCUCAGCCUUCCCAGCUUCUGAGGGUGCUAAGCACCGUGAGGUCAUCCCUGGAGGAUAAGCUUCUUGUAACAAGUGGUGGCACAACUGGAAAGGAACAAAGCUGUGGGAAGCAGACAACUGUAACAACAGCUCUUGAGAUGGGCCCCAGCAGCAGACUGAGAUCUCGUGUGUGUGUUGGAGAGAAGGAAUCUGGGAGAGGUCCAGCUGCACUUGCAAUGGAGCCGGUCUGUUCUUCCAAGACUUGGUACUGAGAACUACAAUAUGGUGUCAAAAUACCAUGGGUGCUUCCACAGCUGUUUGUGCCUCUCCCUCAAAGAAACCUUUGGGGGAGGGGAAGAGGGGGGCAUCAGCUCCCAUUAAGCCUUGCUCUCUGCACCCCCUUCCCCGUCCCACUGACUUUCUGUGUUAGGACACAAACAUGCUCAAUGCAUGCAAGUGUUGUCUGGCUCCUGCAAAGUGUUCUUCUAUGAGAAACGCAGGCUAAAAGCAAAACCCCUCCAGGUGACCUACUUGAAUAUGGUUUACCUACAUGCUGCCAAGGUGAUUAAGAAAUGCCUGUAGUGUCAUUUCAUCUCCUUGAAGAUCGAUACUCACAUGCUGGGUUAUUUUUUUGUAGACUGUUGGUUUCCUGAGGGAGAGACUAUUUGACCUGUGUCAUCACAGGAUAUGUUUCUUCCCUGCUGUAUUAUUUAUGAAACUUACAGACCAUAUAAAGGAAAAAUUGCUGCAAAGUGUCUGGAGCAAGGU
ensembl:lncRNA